AAGUUUGAAGCGAUUACGCAAUUAGUUUCGACCUAAUUUUUGGUGUUAAUUUCACCCAAACUUU
rnacentral:tRNA from 1 species